ACCCGCUGAACUUAAGCAUAUCAAUAAGCGGAGGAAAAGAAACCAACAGGGAUUGCCCCAGUAACGGCGAGUGAAGCGGCAGCAGCUCAAAUUUGAAAUCUGGCGCCCCCCCGGGGCGCCCGAGUUGUACUUUGCAGAGGAUGCUUUUGGCGAGGCGCCUUCCGAGUUCCCUGGAACGGGACGCCGCAGAGGGUGAGAGCCCCGUCUGGUCGGCCGCCGAGCCUCUGUACAGCUCCUUCGACGAGUCGAGUAGUUUGGGAAUGCUGCUCUAAAUGGGAGGUAUAUGUCUUCUAAAGCUAAAUACCGGCCAGAGACCGAUAGCGCACAAGUAGAGUGAUCGAAAGAUGAAAAGCACCUUGAAAAGGGGGUUAAACAGUACGUGAAAUUGUUGAAAGGGAAGCGCUCGCGACCAGACGUGGCCCUGGCGGAUCAUCCGGCGGUCCCCCGCCGGUGCACUCCGCCAGGGCCAGGCCAGCAUCAGCUCGCGCCGGGGGACAAAGGCGGCGGGAACGUGGCUCCCCAGGGAGUGUUAUAGCCCGCCGCGCAAUGCCCUGGGGCGGGCUGAGGUUCGCGCGUCCGCACGGAUGCUGGCGUAAUGGUCGCCAGCGGCCCGUCUUGAAACACGGACCAAGGAGUCGUCUUCGUAUGCGAGUGUUCGGGUGGCAAACCCCUACGCGGAAUGAAAGUGAACGCGGGUGAGAGCUUCGGCGCAUCAUCGACCGAUCCUGAUGUCCUCGGAUGGAUUUGAGUAGGAGCAUACGGGGCCGGACCCGAAAGAAGGUGAACUAUGCCUGCGUAGGGUGAAGCCAGAGGAAACUCUGGUGGAGGCUCGCAGCGGUUCUGACGUGCAAAUCGAUCGUCAAACGUGGGCAUGGGGGCGAAAGACUAAUCGAACCUUCUAGUAGCUGGUUUCCGCCGAAGUUUCCCUCAGGA
rnacentral:rRNA from 2 species